AGACAUUUAUCUAAUUUUGAUCAGUUCCACAGAUAUAGCCUUACCCUGCACAGUACUCAUUGCACUUUGCUCUUGAUAAAUAUAUACUCUUAGAGUUAUCUACUCUUUUGCUCUUAGAGCAUUAUUAUACAAUUAGUUUCAUGCAAGAGCUUUAAGAGCCAAACGGAUUUUUAUAGAGUGUGCAGCAAUAACGUGCAAUUAGAACGAGUCAAAAAAGACACAAAAAAAUUUCAGUUAGAAUGGGAUCUGAGGAUAAUCAGUUGAAAAUACUUAAUGAGAAGUAUUUGAAGAAAUUCAUCAAACAGUUCUGGUUGCAAUCCAUUCCGGAAAUAUGUGACGAAAAAGACUUAAGUUUAAUCGAACCUGUGACUGAAAUCCGUGAAGAAUCUCCACAUACAAGACUGGACCAAAUGUCGUCUUCAGAAAAGACGACAUCCAAACCGUUUCACAAAACUCACCGUCGUCUUCCAUCCUACGGCAACAUUAAUGCUAUAUUUGCCAGCUAACGGUCAAACAUUCAAAAGAAAACUACAUGCAGGAAGAAAUGAAAAUUCAUGUUUGCGCAAUUAAAGAUAUCUUAGUCUCAGAUUGUAAAUAUCUAUAAAUAUAUAAUUUUGUUCAAAACAAAAGUUUAGUAAUUUAAUAAAUGCAUUUGAACAGUCA